rnacentral:ncRNA from 1 species
UGGCAAAAUACGGGGGGAUGUGACUUGUGGGGCUCUAGGGGGGAAAGGCCAACCAAGAUCGGAUAUAGAUGGUUUUCCGCGAAAUCUAUUUCAGUAGAGCGUAUGAUGUCGAUGGCCCGAGGUAGAGCACUCAAUGGGCUAGGGUGGCCCCCAUUUCGCUUUACCAACCCCAGGGAAACUCCGAAUACAGGCCGUCAUCCUUAGUACAGACAGACUGAUUGGGUGCUAAGAU